AACGAACGCUAUCGGUAUGCUUAACACAUGCAAGUCGGACGGACUAAUUAGGGCUUGCUCCAAUUAGUUAGUGGCAGACGGGUGAGUAACACGUGGGAAUCUGCCCAUCAGUACGGAAUAACUUUUAGAAAUAAAAGCUAAUACCGUAUAUUCUCUACAGAGGAAAGAUUUAUCGCUGAUGGAUGAGCCCGCGUCAGAUUAGGUAGUUGGUGAGGUAACGGCUCACCAAGCCGACGAUCUGUAGCUGGUCUGAGAGGAUGAUCAGCCACACUGGGACUGAGACACGGCCCAGACUCCUACGGGAGGCAGCAGUAGGGAAUAUUGGACAAUGGGCGAAAGCCUGAUCCAGCAAUACCGAGUGAGUGAUAAAGGCCCUAGGGUUGUAAAGCUCUUUUAGCAAGGAAGAUAAUGACGGUACUUGCAGAAAAAGCCCCGGCUAACUCCGUG
rnacentral:rRNA from 1 species